GUUUUAGGGAUUUUUUUCAGAUAGAAGAGGUGCAGAGAAUGAGAGGGACAUUUUUUUGUUAGCACGCGGUAUCAGAGAGGAGGAGGGGUGCCGAGGAGGGGUACCAGAGGAGGAGGGGUCUCUUUCCUUUAGUUAGUAUAGAGAGUUUAACCUCGUUCCUUUAAUCCUUUAACUAGACCACGCGAGUGCGGUACCUUAGAGAGGAGGAGGAGGGUACCUUUUUUGUUUGUUUAGAGAGAGUUUAACCUCGUUGGUUCAACCCCUUAUCUAGUCAGGAUCCUAAGUUAGGAUCCAAACGACUGCAUGCGAGAAACCCGUGAAGCACCUCUAGCGCUGCCCCGUCUUGGUUCGGGUACGGCGGUAGAAUAUUUAAUUGACGUCGGACUUUGUUUGAUAGAUGUGUAUUUCCUCCGAGGACAGCCAGCACUUGUAGCAGCGACCACUUGGAAGAGGACAAACCAGUUGAGGAAAACAAAUGGAAGUUUUGUUACCGUAUGCUAUACGAGGUACUCUAAUCGUUAGUCUUCCUAAGGACCUUUCAGUUCCAGUCUUAUUAAUCCGAUACCCUACGGUAACUAGAGUUGUUGUUACUUGAAUAAUCGGAACUGUACUAUGAUGAACUACUUCUCCCAUGAUACUAUGUACCGUUCCAUUACUUCGUAUACCAAUUGUUCAAGUCUGGUAACUAGGUUCUUCCAAAUCAGAUGUACUAUCGUUUAAAAUUCCAAUACAGACGUUACUUAAAGGCAGGUCAACUUUCGCUUUUCCAAGAUUUAAAGAACGUGUGCCGUUUUUUAGUUCUCUAUUUUCCAGUUUUUUAUAGUUUUAUCGUCUUGUUUCGAAGUGCAAAACAUGACAACUUCAAGAAAGGUGUUCUCUGUCGGUUUUCUAAAUGAAUAGACUACAGUAACCGUAUCGUUCAAUGUAUCCUGUAUAACUUCUUUGUGUCUGUUGGGUGCCCUAAAGUUUCUAAGUUCUAUAACACGAAGCUUAGCUCCUAGUUUUUUAAUUAUAAUCUGAUACCCCAUUAUUCCAAUCAGUUUAACUACUUCUAAGAAACCCCGCACACCAGUAUCAUUGUAGUUGAUGACAAUCUUUUGACUUUCUCAUGAGCGACAGUAGAUGUCCACGCUGGUCUCAAAUAUAGCUAAACCUAUAGGGACUUUGUUUACUCGAAGUUUGCUCCUUUUCAAGAUAUGACGUCUUCGUUACUAAUUCAGUUAAUUAUGUAGUCUACUCACCAUGAUGUAUCCUACGGCGGUUACGUUGUUUUUUCAUGUCUUUGUUCCCUUGGUGAAGAUGACAGGCUUUACAGUUUUGCUUGGACUCUUCUAUACAGGUUCCAUGUUUGACUUUGAUCUCUAUACACUAGACUCACGUUGUUGUUGAUCGUGGUACAAACUCCGUCUUCGUUUUUUUAACUAAUUCGUUAGACGUUCAAAAAACUAUCUCUCCCUACUAACACUAUAGGUACUUGUCUGUUUUGUUUAGGUCUUUUAUACACCCGUCUCUAACUAAAAAGUUAAGUCUAACUUACUGAUAUUAAACUUCAUGCCAAUAGUUCUUAUGUGACAAUUAUCUUAGAAAAAGUAUCUAAGACUUUUUCUAUGUAGUCAUGUAGUAAGUUUACAACUCGUCUACCUCCUACUAUUUGGGUAAGAUUGUCUGUGAUUUUUCUGAUCCUCCUGAUCCUUGUGUGCAGUACAACAUGUAAGACUACUUCUUAGUCUUUUAGACCUAUCAGUUCUCUUUCUACUUAGGUAUAGACAACAACUAUUCUUUAGAUUCUUUUUCCCUUAAGUUUUUCUAUCGGUACUCGUUCGCCUGUUCAAUAGUCAAUACUUUUGAUAUUUCGUUCUUGGUCUCCUACUACUUGGGUGAUAAUUGGCCUGAUUUUCUCCAUCCUCUUCAUCGUGUUGAGUACAACAUGUGGAACUACUUCUUGGUUGUUGACUUCCAUCAGUCCUUUAUUACUUUAGUUUUAGAUACCUUCGUCCGGGGUUCUCCUUUGCGCGGCAUUGAGCGUUUACACGACGAUAACUAUCGUUUGUUCAUUUGUUAGUGGUACUUUUUCUUAGUCUUGUCCGUCCAUGAGUCCUCGUGUUACUAAGUUCCGGAUCCUGUUCCGCAUCAACACGGUUAUUUCUUAACUACUUGUUUCUGUAAGUCUUCACACCACAUAGUUCUUGAGCUUUCAGUUUAGCAACUAAUCACCUUUAGGUCAAUAAAUCGUACAUUAUCUUGUAUAUCCUCGUAGUCUAAACAUGAAAUAUAGUUGUAGUAACAAAUUCUAACCAAAAUUAUUUACAUUUACGCAUGGAAGCACAAUCAUUUCAGUAAUCACUUUUCGUCGAUGUACCCACCAUGUAGUCAAAAUGUUUUUUUGUAACAGUAAAUAUCAUGUGUAUAAUCGCUAAAAGUGUACAAGUAGGCGAUGUCUUAUCCGGAGAGCUGCUGUAUGUUUAAAAGUGUACAACUCUGUGAUGUCUCUUUCGUAUACUGUCGGUUUGUUAGUUGCUACACGUGUAGUAGUAGACAAGAGCGGUUCUCGGGUAACACGCACCUUGAUUGCUGGUGAUUUUGACUUCACGUGGUGAAUCAUUAGACGUAACGGUUAGUUAUC
rnacentral:rRNA from 1 species